GCCCGGGGGAGGUGCACAGGACCUGUGAUACCGGGAUAUCCGAAUGGGAGAACCUGCAUACCUGGAGGGUAUGCGCGAGAGAGGUAAGCCGGCGAACUGAAACAUCUAAGUAGCCGGAGGAGAAGAAAGUAAAAACGAUUCCCUGAGUAGCGGCGAGCGAACGGGGAGGAGCCUAAACCGUAUAAGUGUUAAAGCUGGCGGCGUUGCAUAUACGGGGUAGAGGGAACAUACUGGACUGAUGCCAUAAGGUCGAGUGUAUCAUGAUGUAAGCGGAACGCGGCUGGAAAGCCGGACCGUAGGAGGUGAGAGUCCUGUAUAGCGUAAAGUCAUGACAGCUUGUAUGGAAUCCCGAGUAGCAUCGGACACGAGGAAUCCGGUGUGAAUCAGCGUGGACCAUAUCACGUAAGGCUAAAUACUUCCGCCGACCGAUAGAGGAGAGUACCGUGAGGGAAAGGUGAAAAGAACCCUGAGCAAGGGAGUGAAAGAGAAUUUGAAACCGUGUGCUUACAAGCGGUAGGAGCCCUUAUGGGUGACUGCGUGGAUUUUGGUUAAUCAUCCUGCGAGUUAUGAUGUGUGGCGAGGUUAAGUGAAAGCGGAGCCGAAGGGAAACCGAGUCUUAAUAGGGCGACGAGUCGCAUGUCAUAGACGCGAAACCUAGUGAUCUAGGCCUGUCCAGGCUGAAGCUGAGGUAAGACUCAGUGGAGGGCCGAACUCACCGCCGUUGAAAAGUUGGGAGAUGAGAUAGGUCUAGGGGUGAAAAGCCAAUCGAACUAGGAGAUAGCUC
rnacentral:rRNA from 1 species